AUAAAAGGGUGUAUGAGUCAUUGUAUUGAGAAUAAAUAAGUGGGAGAAUAGGAUAAUAUAUAUAUACAUAUAUAGUUGAGUAAGGGGGGAGAGAGGGGUUAAUCUUGAAUUGAGUAGUACAACUCGGCAUCACUGUAAUUCUUAAAUAUUAGCAUACUAAUUGAGAUCAAUUUCACCUAUUACCUAUAUUUGUUUCCUGCUAUUUCUGUCUUUUGGAGUUGUGUAACAGUGGGCUACAUCAAUUGAUAUUGGCAAUAAUAAUUCAGAUUUUUUGUUUAUGGGCUUAAAAGAAUGCAUGGCUGUUAGAUUGGUAUAGAUAAUAACUUUAUUAACCCUUAAAUUCUGUAGAUGAGUAGCCAAAGGCUAUCUGUUGGAAUGACACCGAAAACACUGAGGCUUCCAAAGCCUGGAGAGAUGCUUUUAUCUGUCCGUGGUUCUCUACUUGGUGUUUACAAGGAAGACAACAUGGAAGCUAUUCACUCACGAGUCUGAAGAGAGCUAACUGGAAAUUUCUCAAGUAGUCAAAUCGUGAGUGCUCUACUGGAGCCAUUGAAUUAUUAUGUAUUAAGAUUUCAUGAUGUAUAACUUGGUCACAGUCUAUUUCUUAAUCUGUAGAGUAGUUUUAGUUUUGUGAGUUCCAAGAAAAUGCUGCUAGUCUGCUUUGGUAAAACUCCAAGGCAAAAUACAUGUUUUAUAUAAAUAUAUUGGAGAACUAAUACAUUUCUUUAUACAGAUAAAACCAGAGUUUUAGUAGUUAAAAUUUCAUAAAAGGGUGAUUCAAAUUCAAAGGUAUGAAUUGAGGAAAUAGAACCAAGAGAAUUGAGAAUUGUAUUGUGUACUUAGAAGAGUUGUCUCUUUGUUGAUUUGUGAUUGGAGCCAUUGAUGUAAUUUCGUUCCACCAUUGUAAAGUUGUAAAGGAUUCAUCAUCUAAUAAAGAUCAAGCCACUAAGGUUGUUCCCACA